GGAGAUAGCUCAGUGGUAGAGUGCGUGCUUAGCAUGCAUGAGGUCCUGGGUUCAAUCCAAGUAUCUCCA
rnacentral:tRNA from 1 species